GAAUUCACUAGUGAUUCAGGCCUAACACAUGCAAGUCGAACGGUAACGCGGGGCAACCUGGCGACGAGUGGCGAACGGGUGAGUAAUGCAUCGGAACGUGCCCAGUUGUGGGGGAUAACUGCUCGAAAGAGCAGCUAAUACCGCAUACGACCUGAGGGUGAAAGCGGGGGAUCGCAAGACCUCGCGCAAUUGGAGCGGCCGAUGUCGGAUUAGCUAGUUGGUGGGGUAAAGGCCCACCAAGGCAACGAUCCGUAGCUGGUCUGAGAGGACGACCAGCCACACUGGGACUGAGACACGGCCCAGACUCCUACGGGAGGCAGCAGUGGGGAAUUUUGGACAAUGGACGCAAGUCUGAUCCAGCCAUGCCGCGUGCGGGAAGAAGGCCUUCGGGUUGUAAACCGCUGUUGUCAGGGAAGAAAUCUUCUGGGUUAAUACCUCGGGAGGAUGACGG
rnacentral:rRNA from 1 species